rnacentral:tRNA from 1 species
CAGGGAGACAACAAAAUGUUAAAUAUUAAUUUUGUCACCUUAGGUCGAUCGGUAUCUCACAUUCUUAAAUUUAUUAAGGAUUUUAUUUCCUAAGUUUUUUUCUAGGUCACACCCAUUAUUUUCCUGGGCCAUUAGCUCAGGUGGUUAGAGCGCACCCCUGAUAAGGGUGAGGUCCCUGGUUCAAGUCCAGGAUGGCCCAUAUCUCUAUGUUGGGGGUAUAGCUCAGUUGGUAGAGCGCCUGCUUUGCAAGCAGGAUGUCAGCGGUUCGAGUCCGCUUACCUCCACUGAUUACCACCUCUUCCAUAAAUUUAUAGAAGGGAAAUUUAAGGUGUGAUCAAAUUCUGAACGAAUCUAGCUUCCUGAUAACCAUAUUAAGAUGCUGGAUUCAGUGAAUUAAUUUCAUUGUUUUCAGAGAACCUUGACAACUGCAUAGAUUAUUUUAAAGACAAUAAGCAUUUUUAUAAUGCAGAUUUAUUAUUUAUGCGAAUGCAUUAAAUAACAAUUCUAUUAAGCUGAUGCUUCAAAUUUUUGAAGUUAUU